rnacentral:pre_miRNA from 15 species
AGACGUUUUCCUAGUGAGCAUAGGCCUGCGAAUGGCACUGGAAGAAUUCACGGGGUUCUUCGCACUCCCGUGGACUUUGAGUGCCAUCCUCAGAGCCCUUGUCCGCCCUCUGCGGCCCUC